UACGAAGGGGGCUAGCGUUGCUCGGAAUCACUGGGCGUAAAGGGUGCGUAGGCGGGUCUUUAAGUCAGGGGUGAAAUCCUGGAGCUCAACUCCAGAACUGCCUUUGAUACUGAAGAUCUUGAGUCCGGGAGAGGUGAGUGGAACUGCGAGUGUAGAGGUGAAAUUCGUAGAUAUUCGCAAGAACACCAGUGGCGAAGGCGGCUCACUGGCCCGGUACUGACGCUGAGGUGCGAAAAGCGUGGGGAGCAAACAGG
rnacentral:rRNA from 1 species